rnacentral:misc_RNA from 1 species
GAUGAAGAACGCAGCGAAAUGCGAUAAGUAAUGUGAAUUGCAGAAUUCAGUGAAUCAUCGAAUCUUUGAACGCACAUUGCGCCCGCCAGUAUUCUGGCGGGCAUGCCUGUCCGAGCGUCAUUUCAACCCUCGAACCCCUCCGGGGGGUCGGCGUUGGGGAUCGGCCCUUUCACCGGGUGCCGUCCCCCAAAUACAGUGGCGGUCUCGCCGCAGCCUCUCAUGCGCAGUAGUUUGCACACUCGCACCGGGAGCGCGGCGCGUCCACGUCCGUAAAACACCCCAAACUUCUGAAAUGUUGACCUCGGAUCAGGUAGGAAUACCCGCUGAACUUAAGCAUAUCAAUAAGCGGAGGA